rnacentral:rRNA from 1 species
GACGAACGCUGGCGGCGUGCUUAACACAUGCAAGUCGAACGGAAAGGCCCUGCUUGUGUGGGGUGCUCGAGUGGCGAACGGGUGAGUAACACGUAAGUAACCUGCCCUUGACUUUGGGAUAACUUCAGGAAACUGGGGCUAAUACCGGAUAGGAUCUCCUGCUGCAUGGUGGGGGUUGGAAAGUUUCGGCGGUUGGGGAUGGACUCGCGGCUUAUCAGCUUGUUGGUGGGGUAGUGGCUUACCAAGGCUUUGACGGGUAGCCGGCCUGAGAGGGUGACCGGCCAAAUUGGGACUGAGAUACGGCCCAGACUCCAACGGGAGGCAGCAGUGGGGAAUAUUGCACAAUGGGCGGAAGCCGGAUGCAGAAACGCCGCGUGCGGGAUGACGGCCUUCGGGUUGUAAACCGCUUUAGCCUGUGACGAAGCGUGAGUGACGGUAAUGGGUGAAGAAGCACCGGCUAACUACGUG